CUUCACCGAGCCGAGCCACAGGGGACGCUCCUCGGGCCGGUCCUGGCCGUAGGUGGCGAGCAGUGCCUGGGCCUC
rnacentral:antisense_RNA from 1 species